rnacentral:rRNA from 1 species
UUUGGCCUACGGGACGCAGCAGUCGGGAAUAUUGCGCAAUGGAGGAAACUCUGACGCAGUGACGCCGCGUAUAGGAAGAAGGUUUUCGGAUUGUAAACUAUUGUCGUUAGGGAAGAGAAAGGACAGUACCUAAGAAGGAAGCUCCGGCUAACUACGUGCCAGCAGCCGCGGUAAUACGUAGGGAGCGAGCGUUAUCCGGAAUUAUUGGGUGUAAAGGGUGCGUAGACGGGAAAGCAAGUUAGUUGUGAAAUCCCUCGGCUUAACUGAGGAACUGCAACUAAAACUACUUUUCUUGAGUGCAGGAG